UGCCAGCCGCCGCGGUAAUACGGAGGGUGCAAGCGUUAAUCGGAAUUACUGGGCGUAAAGCGCGCGUAGGCGGCUUUGUAAGUCGGAUGUGAAAGCCCUGGGCUUAACCUGGGAAUUGCAUUCGAUACUGCAUAACUAGAGGAUGUGAGAGGUGAGUGGAAUUCCGAGUGUAGAGGUGAAAUUCGUAGAUAUUCGGAAGAACACCAGUGGCGAAGGCGACUCACUGGCACAUUUCUGACGCUGAGGCGCGAAAGCGUGGGGAGCAAACAGGAUUAGAUA
rnacentral:rRNA from 1 species